UCAUGGCGGACGGGUGAGUAACGCGUAAAGAACUUGCCGUAUGGAUGGGGAUAACCGAUGGAAACGACGGAUAAGACCGAAUAUAAUGAAUGGUAGGCAUCUACUAUUUAUGAAAUAAUAAAUUGCCAUACGAGAGCUUUGCGUCCUAUUAGUUAGUUGGUGAGGUAAUGGCUCACCAAGACGAUGAUAGGUAGCCGGCCUGAGAGGGUGGACGGCCACAAGGGGACUGAGAUACGGCCCUU
rnacentral:rRNA from 1 species